rnacentral:lncRNA from 1 species
AUGGAAUUCUCAGGGGUGAACGUCCUUCAGCUUUUAGGCCGUGGCUGUUGGAACCGGGUUCUCCAGGGCCUGAAAGGCCUUUUCAGGACACAGGCCCACUGAGUCCUGGGAAGAGUAACUCACUGACCCGAAAGGAGUCUCUCUUAGGGAAGCUGUUGCCACUUGUUCCCCAGUCAAGGACAUUCCCACAGGGGAUUCAGUUUCUUCCCUGCCCGCCUCAGCUCACUUUCUCCCGGUGACUCCCUCACAGCC